AGGGCCAGCAUGCCAGCUCGCAGCUCUCAGGAGGAAGCUGAAAAAUGCAUCUCCAAAAUCAGGCCAAGUGUCGACUCCCUCCCCCCUGUGCAGAUCACAAAGGAGACACAAAAUGAGAGAGGCAGAAGAUGAAAAUUAGAGUCACCGAGUCCUCCGGAGAUUAGAGCGCUGUAUGGGUCACACUGUACACGGCCGGUGCGCUGCGGAUGAGGGGAGAGAUGAGCCCCACUGUGCCCUGGCCUCAAACAACAAAACGACACCACCACACAUCCUCCUACUGGUGGCUACGCCGAGCCGAGCGGCCCUGCUCCUCGCCAGCGUAUAGCCACACCCAGUGUAACCCUUGUUGUAAUGUGACAGCUGAGGAAUUUGCCGCAGGUUAGCCACAAAUACUUGCAGCCUGAGUCCGGGAUGCUCGCACGUCACCGGUGGUGUAAAUGACAGGAAAAUUGCUGGGAGUCCGGCCUGCUGCAGCUUUUUGGACAGUUGCAGAUGCUCAAAUAAACAUUUUUGAGAUACUUGCAUUAGUAAACAGAUUCUCUGAAACUCAAAGAUUUUGCAUAAUUUGACUGUGAGAUAGUUAGGACUGGUUUUCAUUUGAAUGCUUUUAGAGGAAUAUUUACUGUAGCAUGUUGUCACUUGUAUCAGGAAAUAUGAGUUGUUGUUGCCUGAGGUGGUUCAGAUACAAAUUCUGUAAAGAAAACUGAAAACAUAUUUACUUAACAAGAACAAAUUCAUGUUCAAUGUGUGAAUAGAACAGCACUUCGACACAUUGGAAGCCACAUGACCAUAAGGUCUGUGAACCGAUGUUGUGCAGUUGAGUCUGGAAAGUUUGAGCUUCAUGCAUUUUAAAGUUGCUUGAUUUUACACUUCCUCCAUUUUCUUCAGGUUAACUCAAAACGACUUGUACAUGUACUGCGUGUUAAACCUAAAACAUUGUUUGAGAACAUGUCUCCUCAUACUUUCUGAUGACCUUGGCAUUAACCAGUUGAUCAGCUCAGAUUUACACCAGCAUUUAAUCUACUAAAUCUACUAAAGCUGAAAGCUCAACAAUCUGCCCUUGUGGAAACCUGGCACACACAGAACAGAAAAGAAGUUUCGGGAUGUAUUGCAUUUUAACUCCACUGCAUUCAAUAUUAUUGAAAUGUAUUUUAACUCUACAGGUGCAGCAUACUUAUUUGAUAUGAGUUCAAAGAAGGUAUAUGAAUUGUUCUGUGUUAUAAUUGUUCUGCUUCUCUUCAAUUAAUUCUCUCUUCUCAUGUCCUGAAUUGGAAAUUGGGUUAUGUUGCUGAAUGUAAGACAUCAUUUCUCUCUUCAUUGGAUUUUCAUUUUUGUCUUGUCGUGCUUUCAAGGUUCUUAUUGACCUCCUCUUGCAUUGUGCAUUUUCCGAUUCUGCAGAAUGUCAGUCCUGCGAGCUCUGACACGCCACAUGUGGCUCACUGUCCAUUAUCAGGCCAUCAAUAUCUAUUGAGUGAUGGGCUAAAAGCAGACACAAACUGAUGAAUCUCUGUCAAACCUUUUUCAGAUACUAUUUGAUGUGCUUUUUUUGUGAUCAACAAUUGCACAAACAUACAAUGCUUUUCCAGGGCUGUUUAAUUAGAUUUUACUGCAAAUAAGUGUCAACAUUAAAUAAACACUAAAGUGGGUAUAAUAUCAUGAUCAGAAAGGUCACAAUAGGUGAGCAUU